AGAUCUUGCUCCAAAAAGAUGAAUAAUUCAACAUCGAGGUCAUAAUCUUUUUCUUUUAUAAGAACUUUAAGAAAAAAUUAUGCUGUUAUCCCUACGGUAACUUAGUUGAACCCCAAAGUUGAGGGUGAAUAGAAGAUAAAAAAAAAGAUUUAGUUUUUUACCGCCCCAGUUCAACAAAAGUAAAGUUCGAUAGGGUCUUGUCGUCCUUCUUUGUCAUACAAGUCUUUUUACUUGAAAGAAAAGUUAGAAUAGUUCAGAUAAUAAAGAAAUUUAUAUGUCAAACCUUUCAUUCUAGCCUUCAAUUGAAAGGCAAAUGAUUACGCUACCUUAGCACAAUAAAAUUGCGGCUAUUCAAUAAGUCAUUGAGCAGGCCCUACUGAAUAUAAAUUCACUCAGAAAUGUUUUUGAUAAACAGACAAUAAACACACAGGCCGAGUUCAUAAAUCUGAAUGUGGGUAAUAUGGCGGGGGUAACGAGUUAAUAGAAAUAAGUGGGGUAAGUUUUACUAAUAAGAUCAUUGUAAAAAUUUUUAGGAGGGUUUCUUUUAAGAAAAUUUUGGAGGGAUAAUAAAGAAGUUUUUAAACUAGUUAGACACUGUUAAUCUUAGGGGUUUAAGAGUUAGGGUGGAAAAAUUUGUAAAAAGGUUUGUCCCUUUUUAAAUUUUAGUAUUCUUACUUUCAAAGAAAACCAGAUAUCAGUGAAUGCGGGUGGAAUUUCAUCUCUAUAUUCACUUUUACAAACUUUAUGAAACAAGCUUGGAAAGAAAAAAUAGGUCAUUUCAAUUUCGGGAAUGUUUGUUAAGAAGGAAGUGUUGAUUUUCCCUGAUACUAAAGGUACAAAAAUUUUCUGUUUUAUAAUCGAAACGUUAUCCCCUCACGGUAAAAAAGUGACAAAGAAUAAACAGAAAGAAAGAAAUAUUUAUUUAAAUAAGGCUUAAGAAAUUGAUGGUGAGAU
rnacentral:rRNA from 1 species